UACGGGGGGGGCAAGCGUUGUUCGGAAUUACUGGGCGUAAAGGGCUCGUAGGCGGCCAACUAAGUCAGACGUGAAAUCCCUCGGCUUAACCGGGGAACUGCAUCUGAUACUGGAUGGCUUGAGUUCGGGAGAGGGAUGUGGAAUUCCAGGUGUAGCGGUGAAAUGCGUAGAUAUCUGGAGGAACACCGGUGGCGAAGGCGGCAUUCUGGACCGACAUUGACGCUGAGGAGCGAAAGCCAGGGGAGCAAACGGG
rnacentral:rRNA from 1 species